GACAGAGGGUGCAAACGUUGUUCGGAAUUACUGGGCGUAAAGCGUGUGUAGGCGGCUAUGUAAGUCGGAUGUGAAAGCCCUGGGCUCAACCCAGGAAGUGCACUCGAUACUGCGUAGCUUGAGUACCGGAGAGGUUGGUGGAAUUCUCGGUGUAGAGGUGAAAUUCGUAGAUAUCGAGAGGAACACCGGUGGCGAAGGCGAUCACCUGGGGUUGUUCUGACGCUGAGGAGCGAAAGCUAGGGGAGCAAACGGG
rnacentral:rRNA from 1 species